rnacentral:rRNA from 1 species
GACGAACGCUGGCGGCGUGCUUAACACAUGCCAGUCGAACGGAAAUGCCCUGCUUUUGUGGGGUGCUCGAGUGGCGAACGGGUGAGUAACACGUGAGUAACCUGCCCUUGACUUUGGGAUAACUUCAGGAAACUGGGGCUAAUACCGGAUAGGAGCUCCUGCUGCAUGGUGGGGGUUGGAAAGUUUCGGCGGUUGGGGAUGGACUCGCGGCUUAUCAGCUUGUUGGUGGGGUAGUGGCUUACCAAGGCUUUGACGGGUAGCCGGCCUGAGAGGGUGACCGGCCACAUUGGGACUGAGAUACGGCCCAGACUCCUACGGGAGGCAGCAGUGGGGAAUAUUGCACAAUGGGCGGAAGCCUGAUGCAGCAACGCCGCGUGCGGGAUGACGGACUUCGGGUUGUAAACCGCUUUCGCCUGUGACGAAGCGUGAGUGACGGUAAUGGGUAAAGAAGCACCGGCUAACUACGUG